ACCUGACUGGCUCAGUGGGUAGAGCAUGUGACUCUUGAUCUUAGGGUCUGAGUUCAAGCCCCAUGUUGGGUA
rnacentral:tRNA from 1 species